UACGGAGGGUGCAAGCGUUGUCCGGAUUUAUUGGGUUUAAAGGGUGCGUAGGCGGCUAUUUAAGUCAGCGGUGAAAGACUUCAGCUUAACUGGAGCAGUGCCAUUGAUACUGGAUAGCUUGAGUGUUGGAGGGGUACAUGGAAUUGAUGGUGUAGCGGUGAAAUGCAUAGAUACCAUCAGGAACACCGAUAGCGAAGGCAUUGUACUGGCCAACAACUGACGCUGAGGCACGAAAGUGUGGGGAUCGAACAGGAUUAGAUACCCUGGUAGUCCACACUGUAAACGAUGAUUACUCGCUGUUAUGGAGUAUUCUGUAGCGGCCAAGCGAAAGCGUUAAGUAAUCCACCUGGGGAGUACGCCGGCAACGGUGAA
rnacentral:rRNA from 1 species